GGUAGUCUUGGCCUUAAACGAUGUUCACUAGGUGUUGGGGGUAACCCUCGGUGCCGCAGCUAACGCAUUAAGUGAACCGCCUGGGGACUACGGCCGCAAGGUUGAAACUCAAAGGAAUUGGCGGGGGACCGCACAAGCGGUGGAGCAUGUGGCUUAAUUCGAUGCAACGCGAAGAACCUUACCAGGGCUUGACAUGUAUCUGCAAGUCGUCGAAAAGCGAUCGCUUUCGAAGGUGAUACACAGGUGGUGCAUGGCUGUCGUCAGCUCGUGUUGUGAAAUGUUGGGUUAAG
rnacentral:rRNA from 1 species